rnacentral:rRNA from 1 species
UUGGAGGGCAAGUCUGGUGCCAGCAGCCGCGGUAAUUCCAGCUCCAAUAGCGUAUAUUAAAGUUGUUGCAGUUAAAAAGCUCGUAGUUGAACUUCAGACCUGGCCGGGCGGUCCGCUUAACGGCGUGUACUGUCUGGCUGGGUCUUACCUCUUGGUGAACCGGCGCGCCCUUUAUUGGUGUGCGUCGGGGAACCAGGACUUUUACCUUGAGAAAAUUAGAGUGUUCAAAGCAGGCAUAUGCCUGAAUACAUUAGCAUGGAAUAAUAAAAUAGGACGUGCGGUUCUAUUUUGUUGGUUUCUAGAGUCGCCGUAAUGAUUAAUAGGGAUAGUUGGGGACAUUGGUAUUGAGUCGCUAGAGGUGAAAUUCUUGGAUUGACUCAAGACCAACUACUGCGAAAGCAUUUGUCAAGGAUGUUUUCAUUAAUCAAGAACGAAGGUUAGGGGAUCGAAAACGAUCAGAUACCGUUGUAGUCUUAACAGUAAACUAUGCCGACUAGGGAUCGGAUGACCUCAAUUUUGAUGUGUCAUUCGGCGCCUUACGGGAAAC